rnacentral:misc_RNA from 1 species
UACGUAGGAGGCAAGCGUUGUCCGGAUUUACUGGGCGUAAAGGGGGAGUAGGCGGUUAGGUAAGUCUUCGGUGAAAUCUCCUGGCUCAACUAGGAGGGGUCCGAGGAUACUGCUUGACUAGAGGUGCGAAGAGGAGAGCAGAAUUCCCGGUGUAGCGGUGAAAUGCGUAGAUAUCGGGAGGAAUACCAGUGGCGAAGGCGGCUCUCUGGUCGUUACCUGACGCUGAGGCCCGAAAGCGUGGGGAGCAAACCGG